CGGUUGUAGCUAAAUAAAUAUAGAGAAAUUGAUUGUCUGAUUGUCGCGAGAUUUUGUGAUAUCCAUUGACGAAUUUGCCUCUCGAGCUUCUCACAUUU